rnacentral:misc_RNA from 1 species
UUGUGGAGGAGGACGCCGAAGGUGGGGCUAAUGACUGGGGUGAAGUCGUAACAAGGUAGCCGUACCGGAAGGUGCGGCUGGAUCACCUCCUAACAGGGAGACAACAAAAUGUUUAAUAUUAUUAUUUUGUCACCUUAGGUCGAUCGGUAUCUCACGUUUUUAAUUUAUUAAGAAUUUCAUUUCCUAAGUUUUUCUAGGUCACACCCAUUAUUUUUCCUGGGCCAUUAGCUCAGGUGGUUAGAGCGCACCCCUGAUAAGGGUGAGGUCCCUGGUUCAAGUCCAGGAUGGCCCAUAUCUCUAUGUUGGGGGUAUAGCUCAGUUGGUAGAGCGCCUGCUUUGCAAGCAGGAUGUCAGCGGUUCGAGUCCGCUUACCUCCACUGAUUACCACCUCUUCCAUAACCGGUAGAAAGGAAAUGUUUUGAGUUGUGAUCAAAUUCUGAAAGAAUCUAGCUUCCUAAUGAAAUCAUUAAGAUGCUGGACUCAUUGAAUUAAUUUCAUUGUUUUCAGAGAACCUUGACAACUGCAUAGAUUAUUUUUAAAGACAAUAGGCAUCUUUAAUGAUGCAGAUUUAUUAUUUGUGCGAAUGCAUUAAUAACAAUUCUAUUAAGCUGAUGCUUCAAUUUUUGAAGUUAUUGGUCAAGCUACAA